rnacentral:rRNA from 1 species
UGAGACACGGACCAGACUCCUACGGGAGGCAGCAGUGGGGAAUCUUGCACAAUGGGCGAAAGCCUGAUGCAGCCAUGCCGCGUGAAUGAUGAAGGCCUUAGGGUUGUAAAAUUCUUUCGCCAGGGAUGAUAAUGACAGUACCUGGUAAAGAAGCCCCGGCUAACUUCGUGCCAGCAGCCGCGGUAAUACGAAGGGGGCUAGCGUUGUUCGGAAUUACUGGGCGUAAAGCGCACGCAGGCGGUUUGUUAAGCUAGAUGUGAAAGCCCCGGGCUCAACCUGGGAACUGCAUUUGUGACUGUAUAGCUAGAGUACGGCAGAGGGGGAUGGAAUUCCGCGUGUAGCAGUGAAAUGCGUAGAUAUGCGGAGGAACACCGAUGGCGAAGGCAAUCCCCUGGACCUGUACUGACGCUCAUGCACGAAAGCGUGGGGAGCAAACAGGAUUAGAUACCCUGGUAGU